rnacentral:lncRNA from 1 species
CUCUGGUUAGGUCAAACCCACCUAGUACUAAGCUCCCAAUAGUCACAAGAAGUCGCAAAUAAUCAGCUCCAACCCUGCUGAAAACAAACAUCACACCGUGUCAAAAAGACGACCGAAAUGUCCGAUUUCGGCCUAAUUUGCACUUAGUACAAAGUAACCCCUUAAGUCCCUAUUUUGGGCUCGUGUAAUACCUCAAGUGUAACCUCCAAGAGUCCUCACAAGU